rnacentral:lncRNA from 1 species
CAUUGAAAAGUUUUUUUGGGUUGAGUCUCUCUUUUUAUAAAGUAAUGCUUGGGAAGUAUUUACUUUUACGCGUACUGUUUCAUUUUUGAAGGGAAUGGAACGUAUUCUUUUGUAUGUGGUAACAACUGGGACAUGGACACUUCAUUUUUUUGAGAUCACACUCGUGUUUUAAAGUGGGGCUCUUUCUUAAGGGAAAUCGUAGGUGUUGAGGACUCUUUGAUGUAUGUAUUUUUUUUCCAUCACAAAGGAAGGUCGGUG